UACGUAGGUGGCAAGCGUUGUCCGGAUUUAUUGGGCGUAAAGAGCUCGUAGGCGGUUUGUCGCGUCUGCCGUGAAAGUCCGGGGCUCAACUCCCGGAUCUGCGGUGGGUACGGGCAGACUAGAGUGAUGUAGGGGGAGACUGGAAUUCCUGGUGUAGCGGUGAAAUGCGCAGAUAUCAGGAGGAACACCGAUGGCGAAGGCAGGUCUCUGGGGCAUUAACUGACGCUGAGGAGCGAAAGCAUGGGGAGCGAACAGG
rnacentral:rRNA from 1 species